UUUAGAUCCGGGCUCAGGACAAACGCUGGGGGCGUGCUUACCUUUUGCAAGUCAAACGAUGAAUUUCCUUCGGGAAUGGAUUAGGGGCGAACGGGUGAGGAACACGUGAGAAACCUGCCUUUCAUUUUGGGAUAACUCCGGGAAACCGGGGCUAAUACCGAAUACUCCGUCUCGGCGGCUUCGCUGAGCCGGGAAAAAAUUUUGAUGAAAGAUGGCCUCGCGGCCUAUCAGCUAUUGGGGGAGGUAAUGGCUCACCAAGGCAACAACGGGUAGUCGGCCUGAGAGGGCGACCGGCCACACUGGGACUGAAACACGGCCCAAACUCCUACGGGAGGCAGCAGUGGGGAAUAUUGGGCAAUGGGUGCAAGCCUGACCCACCGCCGCCGCGUGAGGAAUGAAGGCCUUCGGGUUGUAAACCUCUUUCAGUAGGGAAGAAGCGAAAGUGACGGUACCUAAAGAAAAAGCACCGGCUAACUAUGUGCCAGCACCCGCGGAAAUA
rnacentral:rRNA from 1 species